rnacentral:rRNA from 1 species
AAACCAACCGGGAUUGCCUCAGUAGCGGCGAGUGAAGCGGCAAGAGCUCAAAUUUGAAAUCUAGCGCCUUCGGUGCUCGAGUUGUAAUUUGUAGAGUGGAUCCUUGGGGCCGCUCCUUGCCUAUGUUCCUUGGAACAGGACGUCAUGGAGGGUGAAAACCCCGUGUGGCGAGGGGUGCGGCUCCGUGUAAGGGCUGCUCGAAGAGUCGAGUUGUUUGGGAAUGCAGCUCUAAGUGGGUGGUAAAUUCCAUCUAAAGCUAAAUACUGGCGAGAGACCGAUAGCGAACAAGUACAGUGAUGGAAAGAUGAAAAGAACUUUGAAAAGAGAGUGAAAAAGUACGUGAAAUUGUUGAAAGGGAAGGGCAUUUGAUCAGACAUGGUGUUUUGCGCCCCCUGCUCCUUGUGGGCGGGGGACUCUCGCAGCUCACUGGGCCAGCAUCAGUUUUUGCGGCCGGACAAAGCCGGAGGAAUGUGGCUUCCCUCGGGAAGUGUUAUAGCCUACGGGAACGCGGCCAGCGGGGACUGAGGAACGCGACUUUUGUCAAGGAUGCUGGCAUAAUGGUUAUAUGCCGC